rnacentral:tRNA from 1 species
GCCUGUGAAGCUCAGUGGUAGAGCACUUGCCUAGGAAGCGCAAGGCCCUGGGUUCGGUCCCCAGCUCCGAUA